UACGUAGGGUGCAAGCGUUGUCCGGAAUUAUUGGGCGUAAAGAGCUCGUAGGCGGCUUUAUAGGUCGGGGGUGAAAUCCUGGAGCUCAACUCCAGAACUGCCUUCGAUACUGGAAAGCUCGAGUCCGGGAGAGGUGAGUGGAACUGCGAGUGUAGAGGUGAAAUUCGUAGAUAUUCGCAAGAACACCAGUGGCGAAGGCGGCUCACUGGCCCGGUACUGACGCUGAGGUGCGAAAGCGUGGGGAGCAAACAGG
rnacentral:rRNA from 1 species